rnacentral:sRNA from 1 species
GCAGAUUUUCUAUUAGACCAUGAGGAUGUGCAACAGAACCAUCAGCUAAGAGUAAAGCUAA